GCCCGUGUAGCGCAGUGGCAGCGCGUCUCCCUCCUAAGGAGAAGGCCGUCGGUUCAACCCCGACCUCGGGUG